AGAGUUUGAUCCUGGCUCAGGACGAACGCUGGCGGCGCGCCUAACACAUGCAAGUCGAACGAGCGAGAGAGAGCUUGCUUUCUCGAGCGAGUGGCGAACGGGUGAGUAACGCGUGAGGAACCUGCCUCAAAGAGGGGGACAACAGUUGGAAACGACUGCUAAUACCGCAUAAGCCCACGGGUCGGCAUCGACCAGAGGGAAAAGGAGCAAUCCGCUUUGAGAUGGCCUCGCGUCCGAUUAGCUAGUUGGUGAGGUAACGGCCCACCAAGGCGACGAUCGGUAGCCGGACUGAGAGGUUGAACGGCCACAUUGGGACUGAGACACGGCCCAGACUCCUACGGGAGGCAGCAGUGGGGAAUACUGCACAAUGGGGGAAACCCUGAUGCAGCGACGCCGCGUGGAGGAAGAAGGUCUUCGGAUUGUAAACUCCUGUCGUUGGGGAAGAUAAUGACGGUACCCAACAAGGAAGUGACGGCUAACUACGUGCCAGCAGCCGCGGUAAAACGUAGGUCGCAAGCGUUGUCCGGAAUUACUGGGUGUAAAGGGAGCGCAGGCGGGAAGACAAGUUGGAAGUGAAAUCUAUGGGCUCAACCCAUAAACUGCUUUCAAAACUGUUUUUCUUGAGUAGUGCAGAGGUAGGCGGAAUUCCCGGUGUAGCGGUGGAAUGCGUAGAUAUCGGGAGGAACACCAGUGGCGAAGGCGGCCUACUGGGCACCAACUGACGCUGAGGCUCGAAAGUGUGGGUAGCAAACAGAAUUAGAUACCCUGGUAGUCCACACCGUAAACG
rnacentral:rRNA from 1 species